rnacentral:rRNA from 1 species
ACGGGUGCGUAACGCGUAUGCAACCUGCCUUCAUCUGGGGAAUAGCCCCUCGAAAGAGGGAUUAAUACCGCAUAACAUAGUGAGUAGGCAUCUACUUACUAUUAAAACUACGGUGGAUGAAGAUGGGCAUGCGUGACAUUAGCUAGUUGGUAGGGUAAUGGCCUACCAAGGCUACGAUGUCUAGGGGGUCUGAGAGGAUGUCCCCCCACACUGGUACUGAGAUACGGACCAGACUCCUACGGGAGGCAGCAGUAGGGAAUAUUGGUCAAUGGGCGCAAGCCUGAACCAGCCAUGCCGCGUGCAGGAUGACGGCCCUAUGGGUUGUAAACUGCUUUUGUACGGGAAGAAACCUCAUUACGUGUAAUGAGUUGACGGUACCGUGAGAAUAAGGAUCGGCUAACUUCGUGCCAGCAGCCGCGGUAAUACGAAGGAUCCUAGCGUUGUCCGGAUUUACUGGGUUUAAAGGGUGCGUAGGCGGACUUUUAAGUCAGUGGUGAAAGCCUGCAGCUUAACUGUAGAAUUGCCAUUGAAACUGAUUGUCUCGAGUGUGGUUGAGGUCACUGGAAUAUAUCAUGUAGCGGUG